rnacentral:rRNA from 1 species
AUGGAGUACAUUACAGAGCAUCUCCCCCCUCCAACACUUGAGCCAUCUACCUCAAUUCACCAUUUUGAACUUCAUACAGAAGAUUUUUUCCAUACCAGCUCCUCGGCUCCUCCUACCUACACCAAAGUUGAAGCACCUAAAGGACUAGAUAAUAUGUCCAAGCAUUUCAUGACAGCAAAUGUAGUCACCAUCAUAGGCAUCACUAUAGCUGCCGGGCAGCCUUUUCUUUUUCGUUUCAUGAGCAGUAAGGAAUUAACAACUACAAGUGGUACCUCGAAUACUUCUUCGACCACCAAAGUAGCCGGCAUUCCAGUGCACACAUCUCAACUCACCACUCUCCUCCUACAGAAUACAUUACAGAACAUCUCCCCCCUCCUCCAACACUUCAGCCUAGGUCUGCAAUCAGCCACCUCCGGCGAGCCCAAAGAGCUCAGCUGA